CCUACGGGGGGCUGCAGUGGGGAAUAUUGGACAAUGGGGGCAACCCUGAUCCAGCCAUGCCGCGUGUGUGAAGAAGGCCCUCGGGCUGUAAAGCACUUUCAGUGAGGAAGAACGCCUGGUGGUUAAUACCCAUCAGGAAAGACAUCACUCACAGAAGAAGCACCGGCUAACUCCGUGCCAGCAGCCGCGGUAAUACGGAGGGUGCGAGCGUUAAUCGGAAUUACUGGGCGUAAAGCGCGCGUAGGUGGCUUGAUAAGCCGGUUGUGAAAGCCCCGGGCUCAACCUGGGAACGGCAUCCGGAACUGUCAAGCUAGAGUGCAGGAGAGGAAGGUAGAAUUCCCGGUGUAGCGGUGAAAUGCGUAGAGAUCGGGAGGAAUACCAGUGGCGAAGGCGGCCUUCUGGACUGACACUGACACUGAGGUGCGAAAGCGUGGGUAGCAAACAGGAUUAGAUACCCGUGUAGUC
rnacentral:rRNA from 1 species